UACGAAGGUGGCAAGCGUUACUCGGAAUUACCAGGCGUAAAGGGCAGGUAGGUGGUUUGGUAAGUCUGUUGUGAAAGCCCCCAGCUUAACUGGGGAAGUGCCAUGGAUACUGCCGGUCUUGAGGAGGGUAGGGGCAUCUGGAACGCUGGGUGGAGCGGUGAAAUGCGUUGAUAUCCAGCGGAACUCCGGUGGCGAAGGCGAGGUGCUGGACCCUUUCUGACGCUGAGUGCGCGAAAGCGUGGGGAGCGAACAGG
rnacentral:rRNA from 1 species